rnacentral:rRNA from 1 species
CCUACGGGCGGCUGCAGUGGGGAAUUUUGGACAAUGGGGGCAACCCUGAUCCAGCCAUGCCGCGUGAGUGAAGAAGGCCUUCGGGUUGUAAAGCUCUUUCGGCCGGGAGGAAAUCGCAUAGGUUAAUACCCUGUGUGGAUGACAGUACCGGAAUAAGAAGCACCGGCUAACUACGUGCCAGCAGCCGCGGUAAUACGUAGGGUGCGAGCGUAAAGCGGAAUUAGGCGGUUUAAAGCGAGAGGCGGCGGAUCCCCGGGCUCAACCUGGGAACUGCGCUUGUGACUGGAAGGCUAGAGUAUGGCAGAGGGGGGUGGAAUUCCACGUGUAGCAGUGAAAUGCGUAGAGAUGUGGAGGAACACCGAUGGCGAAGGCAGCCCCCUGGGCCAAUACUGACGCUCAUGCACGAAAGCGUGGGGAGCAAACAGGAUUAGAUACCCCUGUAGUC